GGCGGAUGUAGCCAAGUGGAUCAAGGCAGUGGGUUGUGAAUCCACCAUGCGCGGGUUCAAUUCCCGUCGUUC
rnacentral:tRNA from 1 species